UAAUUGCUGCAAAAGGUGGAUCUACAAAGUAUUGACUUUGGUGGGUGAAUAGUUAUGCACGCUCAAGUUCUGUUUUUUUGUCUUAUUUCUAGUUUGUUUCACAAUAAAACAUAUUUUGGUAGGCAUGUUGUGUAAAUCAAAUGAUACAAACCCCCCAAAAAUCAAUUUCAAAUCUAUCUAGAGGAUAGCGAAGGAGUCAGGUGCAGGACACAGGUGCAGGACACAGGUGCAGGACACUGGUGCAGGACACUGGUGCAGGACACAGGCGAAGGACACAUGCGAAGGAGUCAGGUGCAGGACACAGGCGAAGGAGUCAGGUGCAGGACACAGACGAAGGAGUCAGGUGCAGGACACAGGCGAAGGAGUCAGGUGCAGGACACAGGUGCAGGACACAGGCGAAGGAGUCAGGCGCAGGACACAGGUGCAGGACACAGGCGAAGGAGUCAGGUGCAGGACACAGGUGCAGGACACAGGCAAAGGAGUCAGGUGCAGGACACAGGUGCAGGACACAGGUGCAGGACACAGGCGAAGUAGUCAGGUGCAGGACACAGGUGCAGGACACAGGUGCAGGACACAGGCGCAGGACACAGGCGAAGGACACAGGCGAAGGAGUCAGGUGCAGGACACAGGCGAAGGAGUCAGGUGCAGGACACAGGCGAAGGAGUCAGGUGCAGGACACAGGCGAAGGAGACAGGUGAAGGAGACAGGUGCAGGACACAGGCGAAGGAGUCAGGUGCAAGACACAGGCGAAGGAGUCAGGCGCAGGACACAGGCGAAGGAGUCAGGUGCAGGACACAGGCGAAGGAGUCAGGUGCAGGACACAGGCGAAGGAGUCAGGUGCAGGACACAGGCGAAGGAGACAGGUGCAGGACACAGGCAAAGGAGUCAGGUGCAGGACACAGGCGCAGGAGUCAGGUGCAGGACACAGGUGCAGAACACAGGUGCAGGACACAGGCGCAGGACACACGUAAGAGUAAAAAAACACUGUAUUUACUCAAUCCAAGAACCUAACAAAAAUCCCGUUACAAAACAGGACUCGAUCUCUAACACACGAAAGACAAUCA
ensembl:lncRNA